GGGAGAUUAGUUUAUUUUUAGAAUAUUGCUUUUGUAAAGCAGUGGUAUUUUUGGUAUCUUCCA
rnacentral:tRNA from 1 species